rnacentral:rRNA from 1 species
GACGAACGCUGGCGGCGUGCCUAAUACAUGCAAGUAGAACGCUGAAGGAGGAGCUUGCUCUUCUGGAUGAGUUGCGAACGGGUGAGUAACGCGUAGGUAACCUGCCUGGUAGUGGGGGAUAACUAUUGGAAACGAUAGCUAAUACCGCAUAAUAACAGUUGUUGCAUGACAACUGUUUGAAAGGUGCAAUUGCAUCACUACCAGAUGGACCUGCGUUGUAUUAGCUAGUUGGUGGGGUAACGGCUCACCAAGGCGACGAUACAUAGCCGACCUGAGAGGGUGAUCGGCCACACUGGGACUGAGACACGGCCCAGACUCCUACGGGAGGCAGCAGUAGGGAAUCUUCGGCAAUGGACGAAAGUCUGGCCGAGCAACGCCGCGUGAGUGAAGAAGGUUUUCGGAUCGUAAAGCUCUGUUGUAAGAGAAGAACGAGUGUGAGAGUGGAAAGUUCACACUGUGACGGUAUCUUACCAGAAAGGGACGGCUAACUACGUG